AAUCAAGGUGUCAGUGGGGCUACAUGCCAUCUGGAGGCUCUAGGGAACAUUUUGUAGGUUGGUCUUACCUGGGCUCAUUCAUGUCUGCAUUCAGCUGGAGGCUCAGCUGGACUGGAAGAUCCAAGAUGGCUUCGGUCACAUGUCCAGCAGCUGGUGCUGGCUGUCAACUGGGAUAUCAGUUCUUCUCUGUGUGGCCUCCUAUGCUCCAGUAAGCUAGUCUGGCUUCCUUACAAGGCAGUCUUGGGGCCAUGUUUACAAAAUAAAACAUCAGUUUAACACAAGGAAGGUAAAGCAAAUGAUUCAUAGCCAAUGAUCACCUUGACAAGUUGUAAACUUCAGAGAACAAAAACACAAGGAAUUUGUGUUAAGUUCUCUUGCGUUCUUUUCCAUAAUAUUAAGGAUCAGCCACCCCAGAGUGGUAUCUAGGUGUGGAUGAGGCUUCUUAGGGGUAGUUCCUUAAGUACCGCAACUAAAAUACAGUACACUUCUUGAUCUGAAGACCUGUGAACUAAAGACAAGUUGUUUGCGAAUGUAACCACUCAGCAACAGGGCCGGCCCCCAUUUUUAGGAUUCUUCUUGAAGCUCUGAGAAGAGCUGUGGAAAUUUAUCAAUACUGUUUCUAAUAGUAUUAAGUAAGAAAAGAAGUUAUUGUGGCAAAAAUAUCUCAAACAGGAAACCUUAACCUUGAGGUCUGUGAACACCUGACAUUUGUGUAUUGGCUCAGUUACUGAGAAUGUUCACAGCUCUUCUCAGAGCUUCAAGAAGAAUCCUAAAAAUGGGGGCCGGCCCUGUUGCUGAGUGGUUACAUUCGCAAACAACUUGUCUUUAGUUCACAGGUCUUCAGAUCAAGAAGUGUACUGUAUUUUAGUUGCGGUACUUAAGGAACUACCCCUAAGAAGCCUCAUCCACACCUAGAUCUGAUUUGGAUGAUAGAUCUUGGGCUUUGAGCUGAUGCUAUAAUGGGAUAAAAUUUCUGGAAGACUUGGGAGGAGGUAAGUGUAGUUUGCAUGUGGGAGGGACAUGAAUCCUUGGGGGCCAGAGGUCAGACUUUGGUAGCCAGCUUCCAAGAUGACCUUCCAUUAUCUGUACCUCCUAAUAGUCACAUCCUGUGUAAUCCCUCCCAUGUUGUAUCAGAGUUGAUCUGUGUGAUCUAGGAAAUAUAGCAAAUGUGAUAGUAUGUGACUUCUGAGGCUACGUUAUAAAAGACACUGACUUCUGUCUGGGUUGCCUGCUUGUGCGUGCAUGUGUAUGCUCUCUCUCUCUUUUGAAUCACUUGCAGCAUUUCCUCCAGCCCCAGAGAAGCCUUUAGAUGACUACAACUUCUUGUCUGCAACCUCAUUAGAGACUCUGGCACCAGACCCACCCAAGUCAAGCUAUUCCUGAAUUCCUGAGCCUCAGAAACUAUGAGAUAAUUUUGUUCUUUUAAACCAUAAUAGAUAACUAAUAUACCAUUUAUCAUAAUCUUGUUUCUGCUGUCAUAUUAAAAUAACAAUAUUUGGA